GUCCACGCCGUAAACGAUGGAUGCUAGCCGUCGGUCAGCUUGCUGAUCGGUGGCGCAGCUAACGCUUUAAGCAUCCCGCCUGGGGAGUACGGCCGCAAGGUUAAAACUCAAAGGAAUUGACGGGGGCCCGCACAAGCGGUGGAGCAUGUGGUUUAAUUCGACGCAACGCGAAGAACCUUACCAGCCCUUGACAUGUACUGGAAUGCCCGCAGAGAUGUGGGCAGCCGCAAGGCCAGUACACAGGUGUUGCAUGGCUGUCGU
rnacentral:rRNA from 1 species